rnacentral:tRNA from 1 species
GCCCAGGUGGCGGAAUUGGCAGACGCGCUAGCUUGAGGGGCUAGUGCCCAUAUUAGGGCGUGGAGGUUCGAGUCCUCUCCUGGGCA